AGCUUUGCGCAGUGGCGAUAUCGUAACCAAUGAGGUUUUACCGAGGUGCGAUUAUUACUAGUUAAAAAAAAUAUCCUAUUUAAUAGUGUUUCAUGUUUUCUACAAGGAAUUUGGAAAAGUUUUUUUUUUCUGAUAA